AAAAUGAUCUUCGGUGCGGGUGCUCUGCACCCCGGAUGGUCGAGCAUGCCCCGCGCUGCGUCACGCGCGGGGCAACAGGCGAAGCCGGUGAAAGUCCGGCGCUGUCGCGCAACUGUAAGCCGAACGUCGGCAAGCCAGGUCGCCCGCCCGCACCGCGAUCCAUCA
rnacentral:ncRNA from 2 species